CCUACGGGAGGCAGCAGUGAGGAAUAUUGGACAAUGGGCGCAAGCCUGAUCCAGCCAUGCCGCGUGCAGGAUGACGGUCCUAUGGAUUGUAAACUGCUUUUAUACGAGAAGAAACGCCCCUACGUGUAGGGACUUGACGGUAUCGUAAGAAUAAGGAUCGGCUAACUCCGUGCCAGCAGCCGCGGUAAUACGGAGGAUCCAAGCGUUAUCCGGAAUCAUUGGGUUUAAAGGGUCCGUAGGCGGUUUAGUAAGUCAGUGGUGAAAUCUCCCCGCUCAACGGGGAAACGGCCAUUGAUACUGCUAGACUUGAAUUAUUAGGAAGUAACUAGAAUAUGUAGUGUAGCGGUGAAAUGCUUAGAGAUUACAUGGAAUACCAAUUGCGAAGGCAGGUUACUACUAAUGGAUUGACGCUGAUGGACGAAAGCGUGGGUAGCGAACAGGAUUAGAUACCCUGGUAGUCCACGCCGUAAACGAUGGAUACUAGCUGUUGGAAGCAAUUUCAGUGGCUAAGCGAAAGUGAUAAGUAUCCACCUGGGGAGUACGUUCGCAAGAUGAAACUUAAAGGAAUUGAGG
rnacentral:rRNA from 1 species